AUUGAACGCUGGCGGCAUGCUUUACACAUGCAAGUCGAACGGUAACAGGCCGCAAGGCGCUGACGAGUGGCGAACGGGUGAGUAAUGCAUCGGAACGUGCCCAGUCGUGGGGGAUAACGCAGCGAAAGCUGCGCUAAUACCGCAUACGAUCUAUGGAUGAAAGCGGGGGACCGUAAGGCCUCGCGCGAUUGGAGCGGCCGAUGUCAGAUUAGGUAGUUGGUGGGGUAAAGGCUCACCAAGCCAACGAUCUGUAGCUGGUCUGAGAGGACGACCAGCCAAACUGGGACUGAGACACGGCCCAGACUCCUACGGGAGGCAGCAGUGGGGAAUUUUGGACAAUGGGCGCAAGCCUGAUCCAGCAAUGCCGCGUGCAGGAAGAAGGCCUUCGGGUUGUAAACUGCUUUUGUACGGAACGAAACGGUCCGGGUUAAUACCCUGGGCUAAUGACGGUACCGUAAGAAUAAGCACCGGCUAACUACGUGCCAGCCGCCGCGGUAAUAC
rnacentral:rRNA from 1 species